rnacentral:rRNA from 1 species
CCCCGGUAAACGGCGGCCGUAACUAUAACGGUCCUAAGGUAGCGAAAUUCCUUGUCGGGUAAGUUCCGACCUGCACGAAUGGCGUAAUGAUGGCCAGGCUGUCUCCACCCGAGACUCAGUGAAAUUGAACUCGCUGUGAAGAUGCAGUGUACCCGCGGCAAGACGGAAAGACCCCGUGAACCUUUACUAUAGCUUGACACUGAACAUUGAGCCUUGAUGUGUAGGAUAGGUGGGAGGCUUUGAAGUGUGGACGCCAGUCUGCAUGGAGCCGACCUUGAAAUACCACCCUUUAAUGUUUGAUGUUCUAACGUGGACCCGUAAUCCGGGUUGCGGACAGUGUCUGGUGGGUAGUUUGACUGGGGCGGUCUCCUCCUAAAGAGUAACGGAGGAGCACGAAGGUUGGCUAAUCCUGGUCGGACAUCAGGAGGUUAGUGCAAUGGCAUAAGCCAGCUUGACUGCGAGCGUGACGGCGCGAGCAGGUGCGAAAGCAGGUCAUAGUGAUCCGGUGGUUCUGAAUGGAAGGGCCAUCGCUCAACGGAUAAAAGGUACUCCGGGGAUAACAGGCUGAUACCGCCCAAGAGUUCAUAUCGACGGCGGUGUUUGGCACCUCGAUGUCGGCUCAUCACAUCCUGGGGCUGAAGUAGGUCCCAAGGGUAUGGCUGUUCGCCAUUUAAAGUGGUACGCGAGCUGGGUUUAGAACGUCGUGAGACAGUUCGGUCCCUAUCUGCCGUGGGCGCUGGAGAACUGAGGGGGGCUGCUCCUAGUACGAGAGGACCGGAGUGGACGCAUCACUGGUGUUCGGGUUGUCAUGCCAAUGGCACUGCCC